AUUCUAGUCCCUCCGUUGCACAAUACAUGCCUUCUAUUUGUCCAAAUAUAUAUGUAUCUAGACAUGUUUUAGUAUAUAGGCACAUCCAUUUUUGGACAAAUGGAAGUCAAGUAUUUUGGAACGGAGGGAGUACACA
rfam:Triticum aestivum genome assembly, contig: Triticum_aestivum_CS42_TGACv1_scaffold_516744_6BS